rnacentral:rRNA from 1 species
CCCGGCGACCGGCGGCACGGGUGAGUAACACGUAUGCAACCUGGCCGUGACAGAUGGAUAACCGGGAGAAAUCCCGCCUAAUACAGCAUGACGCCGGGAAGGGACAUCCCUUUCCGGCCAAAGGGGGCGACUCCGGUCACGGAUGGGCAUGCGGCGCAUUAGGUAGUUGGUGGGGCAACGGCCCACCAAGCCGACGAUGCGUAGGGGUUCUGAGAGGAAGGUCCCCCCACAUUGGAACUGAGACACGGUCCAAACUCCUACGGAAGGCAGCAG